UUUAAUGAGUAUAUAGAGUGAAACCGCGAAACUAGUUAGGCUGCAGUAGUACUGAAAUGUAAAUAUGGUAUCACUGUCAGGUUAUAUCAUUUGCAGCUUUUAUUUCUGAGCAAAAUAACGUUUUCUAGCUAAGCUGGAUAGCGAAAAAAGUUGUUGAUGGAUAUCGUAACUUUUAAAUUUCAAAUAUUGCUAUAGUGAAUGGCAAACAUAAACGAUACUAACGCAUAUCACAUAAUCACACACCCAAAUGCAAAUGCAUGAAAAGCCUAAAUACACCAUUUUUCUUUCUUACCACGAACUACAAAUGCCGCCAUUUAUCUUAAUGUGACGUAACCAAUCCGGAAGUCGGAAAAGUCGGAGCUCAGAAAUUAUGCUCGAAUUUCCGACCUAAUUCCGAGUUCUACGACCGUUCAAUUGCUUUUUUCACAAGUCGGACCUCGUUUUUUGCUAGUUCCAAGUUGUCUUGAACGUAGCAUAAGGGUCGGGAAAACGUUCAGCAUAACAGAACGCGCGUUAAAAAAAUUAGUGGCGUUAAAACGAAUGUGCGUUAACGCGUUAUUAUCGCGUUAAGUUUUACAGCCCUAAUAUAUAUAUAUAUAUAUAUAUAUAUAUAUAUAUAUAUAUAUAUAUAUAUAUAUAUAUAUGCAUUACACUACCUUGCUUCUAGUCCUCUGGUAUUUCUGCAUUUUCUAAAGUCUGUCCAAAACUUUCUGCCAGUGGUUUAAAGAUGAUCUCAGCUAAAUCUUUGAGUACUCUUAGGUAUAUGCCAUCAGGGCCAGGGACUUGUCUUUAGUUCAUGUAAUCUAUCCAGUAGGCGGAAGUGUAGUAUAAUGGCUAAGGAGUUGGUCUUGUAACCUAAAGGUCGCAGACUCGAUUCACCGGUAGGACACUGCUGUUGUACCCUUGAGCAAGGAGUACUGAUGGCCAUCUACUUAUCAGGCGCGGCUGCUUCUGCCUUUGUGCUCAUAUUGGUUAUUUUAUUGCUGUGGAAAUGUUCAAGACGAAAAAAACGGUAAGUGUUAUUUAGAAAACCCCUCACAUCAGACUGGAAAUUUCAUAAUAUAUGCCCUGGAGAUAUGUUUUAAAAGGAAGCAGUACUGCAACACAUAUUAUAUAAAAUGAAAAAAUGUACCGUUCACUUUUCAAAGGGAGUACAAUGACACAGUACAAUGUUGCAUUGCAGUAAGUCCUCAUUUUAACCCUGUACAUAACUGAAACAUACUGGAAUGCUUAUGAAGCUGUGAUUAAUUACUAAUGGAUUACAUCAACAUGCAAGCCACCCACAGGCUACUGUUUGUAUGCUGUAUGUUUCAAAAGGAAUGGGAUUAUGUUUAGAUGGACCAGGAAAUCGAAAGUUCAUUGCCUGCAGUGAAGCCUUCUUUUCUCCUGGUUUCGUUUCUUUUUGCUCCUAUAAAUGUCCCUCUGCUUUGUCAAUUCUUUGACAUGCCUUUUACAUUUAAUAUAGAUUAUCCCCUGAAACUGGGCUGGCUGUUGUUUGGAUGAAUUUGGUACGAAAUGCAAACCGAAGUGCUCAGAUGAUGUCACAUCAUAGGCCCACCUACCUACACUUAUGUUUUAGCAUAAGAAAUCGCUAAUUAAAAUGUGGCAAAUGAAACAUGUAUAACAUUUUUUUUUGUUGCUUUUAAAGUGUGGAAGUAAAGAUAAACCCUGUCUACUCAACUGCAGGCCUGUAAGUCUCCAAAGUAUGCAACAGAAAAAUGUGCAUAUUCAGUAUAGACAAAAAUUAAUACUAUUAAUUAACAGCAAACAGUAACUAACUGCAUAGGUAAUUAGCUAUAUAAUUAAAUGCGGUCCAAAAGGAGCAUUUAAUUAUAUAACUAGGUUUCAUGCUACACUCACUACCAAUUUCUACCUAGUCAUAGCUUGAACUAAUUGUUUGAAAUACUGGUUCAAAAGUUUUUUGAACAAUUAACACAAGCCACAAAACAACUGCCUUUUGUUGGUUAGCAAAAUCCAUUUUUAAAAUAUAAUUAUUUUUUCAAAACUGCAAAUUUAUUCUUAAAAAUCGCCUCAAGAAUGUACAUACAGACUUGCAGGCAAGCACGCAAAUUUGACAAGGAUGAUUUCAGUUUAAAAAGUAGGUAAUAGCUCCAGACAAUCAUACUGACAUGUCUGGCACAGGUUUUGAAGGCAUGUCAACAAAUCGUUGUCAGACUCUUGACCAGCAUAGCCCACUACAGCUCUUUCUUAAUGUGACAAAGAGUCAUAUUUUCCACAUCAAAUACGAGCUGAACUAGUAGCAACUGGUGCCGUGGGAGUGGGAUACUACACACACUAUCUAAGCAGUGGAGAUUUCAGUCGGCGAUCAAUAGUCCUCACUUUUGCUGAUUAGCCGUCUGUUAUCUGCAGUUUUCUGUCCGGCUCACGGUGAAUUUUGCAUGACACACACGCUUAAUGUGCAUUGGGUGUUGCCGCGGCGAAGGGCUAGGGUGUGUAAUACGCGUGUCAUUUCUUGUUUUAUUUUCACAGUGAUGACCAGCAUGUGGGAACACAGGAAAACAUAGCGCCAGCCAAAUCCCACAGCAGGGGAAAGGGGUCUGUUGAAGAUCCGUCUGCUUCCGGGGGUGAUAACAUUUAUGUUAACAGUGAGACACCAUAUUUUGAAGAAGAAGAAGAAGAGGAGGAUUAUGAGAAUUGUUUUAAAGAGGACAUUUAUGCGAACAUGUAAUGGCACAAAGUUGGCUAGUCUUAAGAAAAACCUGCUACUUUAACAUACGUGAUCCGGAGGCAGUUCAAGCGAUGACUAUGUAUUUAUAAGGCCUUUGUCACACGACAGGAAUUUUGAUUCAAAGUCUCCAUGCACACAUUUCACAUAUGAUACUUUUUUUAUCGGAUAUAGCUUGUGCGCGAUGUGAAUAAGGCUUGUGAUUUCUGCCAGCACGUUUAUUACUGAACGGCCAUGAAGAUGGAGGUUUUGGUAUCACAAGAAUCAUAAGAAGGGUUAAUUCUGUUCUCUAGUACGUGUGCUGGGUGUUUGGAAAGGAUCCUUUUGAUUUUUAACGGUACAUUACUUGAUGUCUUAUUUCAAUAUUGUUUAUUAAUAUUGCCUUAUACUGCUUUGCAGGCCUACGUGUAUUGUCACCAAUUAUAUUACUAUAAUCGAGAGCGAAACAUUUAUAUUUAAUUCAUUGAUUAUUUUGUGUUCUGAGAAUAUCUUUGCUGCAAUAAAUAAUUCACGGUGUUAGAGGAGUCAGCUUUUGUGAUAAAUAUAUGGCCCUUGUACGAUAGAUGAUGGAUGGAUGGAUGGAUGGAAGACUGUCAAACUAGUUCUAACAUCACACUGUGUGAAUUACAUCAGAGGAACAAGAGGAGCAGGGAAAAAUGGCUGCAAAGCUACUGUGAUUUCAAAUUGAAUAAGGAUGGAAACCGUCCUGACAAUGGCUUAAAUGAUUAAUAAUUAAUCUGUAAA